AUACCAGGAGCUGUAAGCAU
rnacentral:rRNA from 1 species